ensembl:miRNA Mir21 microRNA mir-21
UGUACCACCUUGUCGGGUAGCUUAUCAGACUGAUGUUGACUGUUGAAUCUCAUGGCAACAGCAGUCGAUGGGCUGUCUGACAUUUUGGUAUC